UACAGAGGGUGCAAGCGUUGCUCGGAUUUACUGGGCGUAAAGCGUACGCAGACGGUGAGAAAGGUCGGAUGUGAAAGCCCCGGGCUCAACCCGGGAACUGCAUCCGAAACCAUCUCGCUAGAGUAUGAGAGAGGGAAGCGGAAUUCCUGGUGUAGAGGUGAAAUUCGUGGAUAUCAGGAGGAACACCGGCGGCGAAGGCGGCUUCCUGGCUCAUUACUGACGUUCAGGUACGAAAGCGUGGGUAGCAAACAGG
rnacentral:rRNA from 1 species